CGCACACGCCUAAUCUGCCCGACGUGCUGCUGUGGGCGCUGUGCUGAGGCUGGCGCCAGGCACUCAGCCAACCCCAAGUGACACGUGCCUGGCAGGCCCUUCAGUCUGUGCAAA
ensembl:misc_RNA